rnacentral:rRNA from 1 species
ACAGUCACACAUUAGAUACCCCGGUAGUCCUAGCCGUAAACGAUACUCGCUAGGUGUCGGCCACGGUGCGACCGUUGUCGGUGCCGUAGGGAAGCCGUGAAGCGAGCCACCUGGGAAGUACGGCCGCAAGGCUGAAACUUAAAGGAAUUGGCGGGGGAGCACAACAACGGGUGGAGCUUGCGGUUUAAUUGGAUUCAACGCCGGAAAUCUUACCGGGACCGACAGCAACAUGAAGGCCAAGCUGAAGACUUUGCCGGAUUAGCUG